UGGGGAAUUUUGCGCAAUGGGGGAAACCCUGACGCAGCAACGCCGCGUGAGUGAUGAAGGCUUUCGGGUCGUAAAGCUCUGUCUAGAGGGAAGAAAUGAUAAUCGGUUAAUACCCGGUUUUCUUGACGGUACCUCUGAAGGAAGCACCGGCUAACUCCGUGCCAGCAGCCGCGGUAAUACGGAGGGUGCAAGCGUUGUUCGGAUUUAUUGGGCGUAAAGCGCGUGUAGGCGGUUUGUUAAGUCUGAUGUGAAAGCCCUGGGCUCAACCUGGGAAGUGCAUUGGAAACUGGCAGACUUGAAUACGGGAGAGGGUAGUGGAAUUCCUAGUGUAGGAGUGAAAUCCGUAGAUAUUAGGAGGAACACCGGUGGCGAAGGCGGCUACCUGGACCGAUAUUGACGCUGAGACGCGAAAGCGUGGGGAGCAAACAGG
rnacentral:rRNA from 1 species